UACGAGGGGGGCGAGCGUUGUUCGGAAUCACUGGGCGUAAAGCGUGCGUAGGCGGUCGCAAAAGUUAGGAGUGAAAGCCCAGGGCUUAACCUUGGAAUUGCUCUUAAUACUGUGCGGCUCGAAUCUCGGAGAGGAUAGCGGAAUUGUCAGUGUAGCAGUGAAAUGCGUAGAUAUUGACAGGAACACCAGUGGCGUAAGCGGCUAUCUGGACGAGUAUUGACGCUGAGGCACGAAAGCGUGGGGAUCAAACAGG
rnacentral:rRNA from 1 species